CGUCUAUAUACGUAUAGCAUAUCAAUAAGCGGAGGAAAAGAAACUAACAAGGAUUCCCUUAGUAACGGCGAGUGAAGCGGGAAGAGCUCAAAUUUGAAAUCUUCAAGGUUCUACCUUGACGAAUUGUAGUUUAAAGAAGUGUUUUCUGUUAGAGGAGUGGCAAAAGUUCUUUGGAAUAGGACAUCAUAGAGGGUGAGAAUCCCGUAUUUGGUCAUUCUUUCUAGCUUUGUGAUACACUUUCAAAGAGUCGGAUUGUUUGGGAAUGCAGUCCAAAAUGGGUGGUAAAUUUCAUCUAAAGCUAAAUAUUGGCGAGAGACCGAUAGCGAACAAGUACCGUGAGGGAAAGAUGAAAAGAACUUUGAAAAGAGAGUUAAACAGUACGUGAAAUUGUCAAAAGGGAAGCGUUUGACACCAGUGUUGUUUUUCCGAAAAUCAAUUAAGAGUGGCUUGAUUUUGUGUUGUAUUGACCUUAUCAGCUUUCUUCACUCUUUUUCGAGUCUUUCUUAAUGCACUUUUCGGUUAACAAGUCAACAUCAAUUUCUUUUGUUGUAAAAGGGUAUUUGGAAGGUGGCUUUCUUUUCGGAGAAAGUGUUUAUAGCCUUAUACCUCUACAAUCGGAGAGAUUGAGGUCUGCAGCGUAGAUCCUUCGGGGCUAGAUACACUUGUGCUAAGUUAUAGCUUUUCAUAGACAACUUGUUGACUAUGUUUAGUCAUGUAGCUUACUCCGCUUGUGCUAUUUUACCUACGCUUAGGAUGUUGAGUCAUCACACAUCUCU
rnacentral:rRNA from 1 species